rnacentral:rRNA from 1 species
GGGCCCGCGGCCUAUCAGCUUGUUGGUGGGGUAAUGGCCUACCAAGGCGACGACGGGUAGCCGGCCUGAGAGGGUGACCGGCCACACUGGGACUGAGAUACGGCCCAGACUCCUACGGGAGGCAGCAGUGGGGAAUAUUGCACAAUGGGCGCAAGCCUGAUGCAGCGACGCCGCGUGAGGGAUGACGGCCUUCGGGUUGUAAACCUCUUUCAAUAGGGACGAAGCGCAAGUGACGGUACCUAUAGAAGAAGGACCGGCCAACUACGUG